AUAGUACCUUACUACUUGGAUAACCGUGGUAAUUCUAGAGCUAAUACAUGCUUAAAAUCCCGACUUCGGAAGGGAUGUAUUUAUUAGAUUAAAAACCAAUGCCCUUCGGGGCUCUCUGGUGAUUCAUGAUAACUUCUCGAAUCGCAUGGCCUUGCGCCGGCGAUGGUUCAUUCAAAUUUCUUCCCUAUCAACUUUCGAUGUUUGGGUAUUGGCCAAACAUGGUUGCAACGGGUAACGGAGGGUUAGGGCUCGACCCCGGAGAAGGAGCCUGAGAAACGGCUACUACAUCCAAGGAAGGCAGCAGGCGCGCAAAUUACCCAAUCCCGACUCGGGGAGGUAGUGACAAUAAAUACUGAUACAGGGUUCUUUCGGAUCUUGUAAUUGGAAUGAGUACAAUUUAAAUCCCUUAACGAGGAACAAUUGGAGGGCAAGUCUGGUGCCAGCAGCCGCGGUAAUUCCAGCUCCAAUAGCGUAUAUUAAAGUUGUUGUGGUUAAAAAGCUCGUAGUUGAACCUUGGGCCUGGCUGGCCGGUCCGCCUCACCGCGUGUACUGGUCCGGCCGGGCCUUUCCCUCUGUGGAACCCUAUGCCCUUCACUGGGUGUAGCGGGGAAACAGGACUUUUACUUUGAAAAAAUUAGAGUGCUCCAGGCAGGCCUUUGCUCGAAUACAUUAGCAUGGAAUAAUAAAAUAGGACGUGUGGUUCUAUUUUGUUGGUUUCUAGGACCGCCGUAAUGAUUAAUAGGGACAGUCGGGGGCAUCAGUAUUCAAUUGUCAGAGGUGAAAUUCUUGGAUUUAUUGAAGACUAACUACUGCGAAAGCAUUUGCCAAGGAUGUUUUCAUUAAUCAGGAACGAAAGUUAGGGGAUCGAAGACGAUCAGAUACCGUCGUAGUCUUAACCAUAAACUAUGCCGACUAGGGAUCGGACGAUGUUAAAAAUUGACUCGUUCGGCACC
rnacentral:rRNA from 1 species